rnacentral:rRNA from 1 species
CUUUACUGCAACUUGACGUUGGAACUUGGCUGUAUUUGUGUAGGAUAGGUGGGAGACUUUGAAGCAGGGCCGCAGGUCUUGCGGAGUCGUCGUUGAAAUACCACCCUGGUGCUGACGAGUUUCUAACCGUGUCCGUAAGCCGGACAUGAGACAGCGUCUGGUGGGCAGUUUGACUGGGGCGGUCGCCUCCUAAAAGGUAACGGAGGCAUUCAAAGGUCCCCUCAGCGUGGUCGGUAAUCACGCGCAGAGUGCAAACGCAUAAGGGGGCUUAACUGCGAGACCGACAGGUCGAGCAGGUACGAAAGUAGGAGUUAGUGAUCCCGCGGUUUAGCGUGGAAUUGCCGUUGCUCAAUGGAUAAAAGGUA